AUUGAACGCUGGCGGCAGGCCUAACACAUGCAAGUCGAGCGAGCGGCGGACGGGUGUGAUAUGUCUGGGAAACUGCCUGAUGGAGGGGUAUAACUACUGGAAACGGUCUCUAAUACCGCACACUAUCAGAUGUGCCCAGAUGGGAUGAGCUCGUAGGUGGGGUAAUGGCUCCCCUAGGCCACGAUCCCUAGCUGGUCUGAGAGGAUGACCAGCCACACUGGAACUGAGACACGGUCCAGACUCCUACGGGAGGCAGCAGUGGGGAAUAUUGCACAAUGGGCGCAAGCCUGAUGCAGCCAUGCCGCGUGUGUGAAGAAGGCCUUCGGGUUGUAAAGAACUUUCAGCGAGGAGGCGUUACUCGCAGAAGAAGCACCGGCUAACUCCGUGCCAGCAGCCGCGGUAAUAC
rnacentral:rRNA from 1 species